rnacentral:rRNA from 1 species
UACGUAAGGUGCAAGCGUUAAUCGGAAUUACUGGGCGUAAAGCGUGCGCAGGCGGCUUUGCAAGACAGAUGUGAAAUCCCCGGGCUCAACCUGGGAACUGCAUUUGUGACUGCAUGGCUAGAGUGCGGCAGAGGGGGAUGGAAUUCCGCGUGUAGCAGUGAAAUGCGUAGAUAUGCGGAGGAACACCGAUGGCGAAGGCAAUCCCCUGGGCCUGCACUGACGCUCAUGCACGAAAGCGUGGGGAGCAAACAGG